GCCAGACUCCUACGGGAGGCAGCAGUGGGGGAUAUUGCACAAUGGGGGGAACCCUGAUGCAGCGACGCCGCGUGGGUGAAGAAGCGCCUCGGCGCGUAAAGCCCUGUCAGCAGGGAAGAAAAUGACGGUACCUGAAGAAGAAGCCCCGGCUAACUACGUGCCAGCAGCCGCGGUAAUACGUAGGGGGCAAGCGUUAUCCGGAUUUACUGGGUGUAAAGGGAGCGUAGACGGCAGGGCAAGCCAGAAGUGAAAACGCAGAGCUUAACUUUGCGACUGCUUUUGGAACUGCCCAGCUAGAGUACAGGAGAGGUAAGUGGAAUUCCUAGUGUAGCGGUGAAAUGCGUAGAUAUUAGGGGGAACACCAGUGGCGAAGGCGGCUUACUGGACUGAGACUGACGUUGAGGCUCGAAAGCGUGGGGAGCAAACAGGAUUAGAUACCCGAGUAU
rnacentral:rRNA from 1 species